rnacentral:rRNA from 1 species
GAUGAACGCUGGCGGCGUGCCUAAUACAUGCAAGUCGAGCGAACAGACGAGGAGCUUGCUCCUCUGACGUUAGCGGCGGACGGGUGAGUAACACGUGGAUAACCUACCUAUAAGACUGGGAUAACUUCGGGAAACCGGAGCUAAUACCGGAUAAUAUAUUGAACCGCAUGGUUCAAUAGUGAAAGACGGUUUUGCUGUCACUUAUAGAUGGAUCCGCGCCGCAUUAGCUAGUUGGUAAGGUAACGGCUUACCAAGGCAACGAUGCGUAGCCGACCUGAGAGGGUGAUCGGCCACCCUGGAACUGAGACACGGUCCAGACUCCUACGGGAGGCAGCAGUAGGGAAUCUUCCGCAAUGGGCGAAAGCCUGAUGGAGCAACGCCGAGUGAGUGAUGAAGGUCUUCGGAUCGUAAAACUCUGUUAUUAGGGAAGAACAAAUGUGUAAGUAACUAUGCACGUCUUGACGGUACCUAAUCAGAAAGCCACGGCUAACUACGUG